CCUCUGUUCGAAUAUAUCUGUCGGAACGUGUUCUUAUUGAAUUGAUUGACGGCCCAGAGCAUUAGCGUUCUGAUCGUUCUUAUGACGUGCUACAGUUGCAUAUAACCAGGCCCUUUCGGAAGCCUCGAAUACUCGCAGAUCGGGAAAGCUAAGCGAAGAGAGAAACACAAACAAUUCACAGUAGAUUGCAUUGUACGGAUCGAACAAUAUAAUUACAUUUCAAGAUAAGUGAUCAGGAAAGAAUCUUGGGAAGCAAGUUUAUUGAAUCAAAUGGAAAUGGGUGAUUUUCAACAAGAGAAAUGAUAAGCAUGCUGAAUUGUAGCUAGAAACAUACGUAGAGGAGUUUCUAUAUUUUGGACUAUUUGUUAGCGUAGAAUUUAGAUUGCUGAUGAACUGAAAAGAGCUAUGAAGAAAAUGCAGUGAUAAAUAUGUUUGGAUAAUACUUCACAACUUGCCGACAUAGCUUUAAAUACAAUACACAGAACCACGAAUACACGUUGUGCGUCAUACGGAAUGACAAGAACGACAGGAUGACAUUCCGUGUAAGAACAGAUAUACCGCCAUUUUGGCAGUUACUAUGGCGACAGUUUAUAGCAUUUCUAUUCUUACACCUCAUAAUCCUCGCUUCGGCGGCUAGAAACCGUGAUGAUCUUGUUAAAAACACUGACAAGGGAAAGGUCAGAGGAACACGUGUCCAUUUACGUCAUAUGGAUAAACGUGUAGACACUUUUCUCGGAAUUCCCUAUGCAAAACCUCCUCUAGGUGAUCUUAGAUUCCGUCAUCCAGAGCCCAUGGACAGAUGGCAAGGUAUCAGGGAUGCUACCCAACAGCCAAAUACAUGUGUUCAACUAAAAGACGACACGUUUGGUAACUUCUCAGGUUCAACGAUGUGGAACGCCAACACUCCAAUAAGUGAAGACUGUUUGUACCUAAAUGUCUAUGUGCCAAAAAAUAUAGCAAGACACUCCGCAGUAGUUGUGUGGAUAUAUGGAGGCGCUUUCUACAGCGGGUCAAUCACAUUGGACAUUUAUGAUCCGACUAUAUUUGCCGCGUAUAAUGACGUCAUAGUUGUUGCUAUGAACUAUAGGGUUGGAAUACUGGGAUAUUUAUCAUUGGGUAUUGCCGAAGCACCAGGAAAUGCAGGAAUGUUUGAUCAACUUAUGGCGUUGGAAUGGGUACGAAAAAAUAUUCGAUCCUUUGGUGGGAAUCCAAAUAACGUAACGUUGUUAGGUGAGAGCGCGGGGUCGGUUAGCGUAAGCAUGCAUCUGUUAUCACCUCUUAGUCGAAACAAAUUCAACAGAGCCAUACUCCAGAGCGGGGUAGCAAAUACCAAAUGGGCAACGAUCACAGUUGCUGAGGCAAAAACAAGAGCAUUUAGAGUUGCCAAGCGACUACGUUGUGCGGAGCGUCAGGAGACCAAAAAGUUAGACGAACUCGGUGUGUUCACUUGUCUUCGAAAUACUAAAAGUUUUGACCUGAGUAACAACGAAUACUACGCAACUGGAGGAACAAUGCAGUUUGCGUUCGUGCCAGUAAUAGAUGGCGUAUUUCUCGUUGAAGACCCACGUCAGAGUCUUAAACGACAUAACUUUAAAAAGUGCCCCAUUUUAAUUGGAAGUAACAAAAACGAAGGAUCUUAUUUCUUAAUGUAUGACCUAAGUGAUCGUAUUGAUUUGGAAACUAAGGCAGAUGAACUCGUUAAUAGAGAAUUUUUUAUAGAGGCGAUGCAACGGGUAAACAAUUUUUACCCACAGUACCCACACCAAUUGAACACAUUUGGGCUGGAUGCCAUAAUUCAUCAAUAUACACCUUGGGAGAAUCCUGAUGAUAAAUACUUAAACUUCAGGGCAAUAGAUAACUGUGUGGGGGAUUAUCACUUUUUAUGUCAAGUGAAUGAAUUUGCUCAGGCAUACGCCAACUUUGGGGAGAAUGUAUAUUCGUAUUACUACAGCCAUCGAUCCAGUUUGCAACCCUGGCCAAUCUGGAUCGGAGUAAUGCACGCCGAUGAGAUCAACUUUGUGUUUGGGGAACCCCUAAGGCAGGGCUACAACUACACACGAUUAGAAGUGGAGUUCAGUAAAAAGGUGAUGAAUUACUGGACCAACUUUGCCAAAUAUGGAGAUCCCAACCAGACACCUGAUGGAUACAAUCUCCAAGAGUGGCCAGUACACACUAAGGAAGGCAAAGAGAUCAUAGAAUUGAAUGCUAAGUUCGUACACGAGACUGACAAAACACUGGCGUUGGGGAGAGGACCGCGGCUUAAGGAAUGUGCGUUCUGGAGAGAAUAUCUACCUCAGCUAGUUGCCGCUACAGCGAACAUUACUGAAGAAGAAAAGAGCUGGAAGUUGGAAUUUUCGGAAUGGAGAACACAGUACAUCGUUGAUUGGAAACAACAGUACGAUAACUUCAUAAGAGCCCAGCAGUCACAAUGUGAGAGCCCUCCACCGUAGAUAUGAGAGAAGUCUGAUUGAAACGCGUGAAAGGCCUGGUGCGACGACCUGAUAUAGUAUUAUCAUGUGGCCGGUCUCUGAGUAUAAUCUGAGAGAGCUGUCACGUGGUGAUGGCCAUACUGAAGACUCUUAUUGUUUACCCACAAAAUUAAGACAUAUAUUUUUUAUUAUGUAUUCUAUGAGUGAAAAUUAUCAAUGUAACGAAAUGGACGUAAUUCGAUAUACACCAGUUAUAAAAAAUAUCUAAAAUAAAGAUACGUUAUGAGCAUGCCGUGUAAAUUGCCAUCAAAAUAUGGAACAUGGAGUAGAUACAGUACUUGGAAGUUUUGAACGGAAUUGGCGAAUCACCAAAUUAAUGUUAAAGAACACAGGAAUUAUUCCGCUACUUAAAAUUCUCGCCGUCGUAGAUGUAUUUUCCAUAGUUACGACUACGAUUCGAUAUUUCCUAUGAUGAACAAAGGUGCAAGUGCUGCAUUAUUUUAUAUGAUGACUGCAUCUUUGGUGCGUAUAUUCUUAGAAUUUCUUGUUACACGUUCGUCUUAAUAUAUCCCUGUCAACUUGGUUAAGUCGAAAGAUAUUACAAAACAUACGAGUAGUUAAAAAAACGAUAUACAUUGAAUUAGGUUAAAUGUAAGGUGUUUGACAAAGUAUCUGUUGGACUUUAGAGGAGAAUGGUGAAUAUUGGU
rnacentral:misc_RNA from 1 species